UCAUCUUUGCUCUCCUCAAAAUCAACCACUGUGGUAACAUGUUGACCAAUUGUUGACUCUUGUAUAUCCUCACACGUUGCAUCUUCUGAACUUGUAACGGCAUCCCCACCACCUUGGACUUCUUCUGGCAUUUUGAGUUCAUGUUCCUUUUCUUGAUUUUCCUCUUUGCUCACUAUCUCAUUCUCAUUCAAUUCAGGUUUAGCCUUCUCUGAUCCUGUCACUUCACACACCUCCUUAACCAAUGGGCUUUCAAACUCAUCAUUGACUAUAGCAUCUUCCUCAAUCUUUUCUUCAUUUUCCAUAGUUUCUUUUUUAGGUUCUAUUUCUGUUGAGCUGCAAACAUCAGUAGUAAUGACAUGCAGCAACCCUUGUUGCUCCAUAUUUUCUUUUGUUUCUAUACUAGAUUCGAUUUCUUCAAUGUUUUCCUCUACACUUUCUCUCGUUUCAACAACUUCAGGUUCUUUACCUUCUUCUUGGUAGUUCUUUUCUUGCAAGUCUUCUUCUAAGGCUGCAACCUGUGAGCUUGUUACAUUAUCCUCGCCUUGACCUUCUGUUGACAUGUCAACCUGAUCCUUUUCUUGUUCUUCAUCCUUGAAAGUUUCAAUAGCUUUUACCUCUUGUUCAGAUUCAACCUUUUUUGAG
rnacentral:lncRNA from 1 species